rnacentral:rRNA from 1 species
CCUACGGGAGGCAGCAGUGAGGAAUAUUGGUCAAUGGACGAGAGUCUGAACCAGCCAAGUAGCGUGAAGGAUGACUGCCCUAUGGGUUGUAAACUUCUUUUAUAUGGGAAUAAAAUGUUCCACGUGUGGGAUUUUGUAUGUACCAUAUGAAUAAGGAACGGCCAACUCCGUGCCAGCAGCCGGGGUAAUACCGAGGAUUCGAGCGUUUUCCGGAUUUAUUGGGGUUAAAGGGCGCGUAGGUGGAAUGUUAAGUCAGUUGUGAAAGUUUGCGGCUCAACCGUAGAAAUGCAGUUGAAACUGGCAGUCUUGAGUACAGUAGAGGUGGGCGGAAGUCGUGGUGUAGCGGUGAAAUGCUUAGAUAUCACGAAGAACUCCGAUGGCGAAGGCAGUUCACUGGACUGCAACUGACACUGAGGCUCGAAAGUGUGGGUAUCAAACAGGAUUAGAUACCCCAGUAGUC